CACGUAGGGGCCAAGCGUUGUCCGGAUUUAUUGGGCGUAAAGAGCUCGUAGGCGGUCUGUCGCGUCUGCUGUGAAAACUCGGGGCUUAACCCCGGGCCUGCAGUGGGUACGGGCAGACUAGAGUGCGGUAGGGGAGACUGGAAUUCCUGGUGUAGCGGUGAAAUGCGCAGAUAUCAGGAGGAACACCGGUGGCGAAGGCGGCCGACUGGACCACACCUGACGCUGAGGCGCGAAGGCCAGGGGAGCGAACAGG
rnacentral:rRNA from 1 species